rnacentral:rRNA from 1 species
ACUACGGGAGGCAGCAGUGGGGAAUAUUGGGCAAUGGGCGCAAGCCUGACCCAGCAACGCCGCGUGAAGGAAGAAGGCUUUCGGGUUGUAAACUUCUUUUGUCAGGGACGAAGCAAGUGACGGUACCUGACGAAUAAGCCACGGCUAACUACGUGCCAGCAGCCGCGGUAAUACGUAGGUGGCAAGCGUUAUCCGGAUUUACUGGGGGUAAAGGGCGUGUAGGCGGGGAAGCAAGUCAGAUGUGAAAACCACGGGCUCAACCUGUGGCCUGCAUUUGAAACUGUUUUUCUUGAGUGCUGUAGAGUCAAUCGGAAUUCCGGGGGUAGCGGUGAAAUGCGUAGAUAUAUGGAGGAACACCAGUGGCGAAGGCGACGAUCUGGCCUGCAACUGACGCUCAGUCCCGAAAGCGUGGGGAGCAAAUAGGAUUAGAUACCCUUGUAGUC